rnacentral:lncRNA from 1 species
UGGUAUAACUUUAUCUUUUCCACUGAACUGAAAUAUCUGUGGGAAUUUGUGCUUCCAGUUUAUUUAAUCUUUGAGAAAAGACAAAGCCAGUUGAAUGGUUUUUGUUUUUAUUGUGUUACCUGUAUUUAUAAAGAAUGAAACAUGAAGCAACAAUGUUUUUCUUUUUUGAGACAGGGUCUUACUCUAUAGUUUAGGCUGGCCUGGCCUUCAUUAUACUAGACCACGUUGGCUUCAAACUAGUGGCAAAUCUCUUGAUAGACGAAUGCGAUGUCAAAAGGCUGAUGGGACACAUGUCUGGGAAGGAUGUAGUGGUUCAAGCAUUUCUAUGUGGUACAUUCGGUAGUUAACCAGGCUUCCUUUGAAAUGAAGUUAUUUGCUUCUUUUGACCCCAGAAACAUCAAAGUCAAUAUUCAUGGGAGAAGGCUUAUUGUUAUGCAUGAUGCAAAGUUUCUUCCAUUUAAAUUCAUUGAAAAGUAAAAUUUUCAUGACUGUUGUUUUUACAUUAUAAUCUUAAUGUAAAUAUUUCUAAGUAUGGUAGAUAAU